CAGAUUUUAAGGUCCCUCAGUCUGAACAAGAUGCACUUGUGUCUCAGGAUCACAGCCCUGAGCUCUCGGAGGUACGAGUCCGUCUCCCUCUCCCCCUUUCUCUCGCACUCACGGUCCGACCAGGAGCUUUGCUCUCAGCCACUGCUCUGAAGACAACUGGAUGUGUCCCAGACCCAAGCUGCCACCACUGCUCACUCAGGAUUUGACAGUGCCAAGUGGCUCCUGCAAAGUGACACCAGGAACCUGGGCUGAGAACUGCAAAUGUCCAGCACCUCUAGGUCUGUGUCUUGUUCAACUCCAGCCUGCUGACACACUGAUGAACAGCAUCUGCCAAUUCAAAGCAGCUCUGACCAGACUGACUUGAUGCAAUCUGGCAACCUUAAUCAUCUUAAGCUGUCCUCUGGAAUACCUGUUCUGCAUCUCAAAGUGCCUUUUCCACACAAGUAAAAAUGGUUGGUGUAACUUUGUAGAAAAUCAUUGUUUUUUAACACUGGACAAAAUGUUCUACAUCUGGAUAGCAUGGACAAAUAGACAAAGCCCCCUUUUAUUCUCCCAGGUUAACAUUUCCUGGAAGAAAGGAGGGCAUGAUUUAGAGGAAGAGCUGAGGCCUGAACAUAUGGUUGCUGUAACCUGUGCAACAUAAGCUGAGAGAAGGAGAGGGUAGCUCAUCCAAGUUCUAUUCUGGAAUACAUCUAAGACACACCCAUAGGCAUGGUAUAGACAAACCAAAGUAUCACACACAUAACAGGCUUAAAGAAAAAAGCAGAAAUAAAAGGCCUUUUGCUAAUUUUCUUGCUAGCAGCAAGGGUGAUGUCUGCCUUUGGAAAGGGAGUUGGAGGCCAGUGGCAAUAGGAGAACAAAUUAGCUGUA